rnacentral:lncRNA from 1 species
CCGGCCCCGGGCAAUGAGGGGCUUAGCACCCGGGCCAGCGGCUGCGGAGGAUGUACUGGGUCCCCCAGCAGUUCCAGCCCACCGGCGCUUUGCUCGAUUUCUCACCGGGCCUUAGCUGCCUUCCCUCGGGGCAGGGCUCCGGACCUGCAGCCCACCAUGCCUGAGCCUCCCACCCACUCCAUGGGCUCCUGUGCGGCCUGAGCCUCCCUGACGAGCGCCACCCCCUGCACCGGGGCGCCCAGUCCCAUCGACCACCCAAGGGCUGAGGAGUGCGGGCGCAAGGCACCGGGACUUGCAGGCGGCUCCACCUGCAGCCCCGGUGCGGGAUCCACUGGGUGAAGCCAGCUGGGCUCCUGAGUCUGGUGGGGAUGUGGAGAACCUUUGUGUCUAGCUCAGGGAUUGUAAACGCACCAAUCAGCGCCCUGUCAAAACAGACCACUCGGCUCUACCAAUCAGCAGGAUGUGGAUGGGGCCAGAUAUAAAAGCAGGCUGCCCGAGCUAGCAGUGGCAACCGGCUCGGGUCUCCUUACGCACUGUGGAAGCUUUGUUCCUUCGCUCUUUGCAAUAAAUCUUGCUACUGCUCACACUUUGGGUCCACACUGCCUUUAUGAGCUGUAACACUCACCGGGAAGGCCUGCAGCUUCACUCCUGAGCCAGCGAGACCACGAGCCCACCAGGAGGAACGAACAACUCCAGAGGCGCCGCCUUAAGAGCUGUAACCCGGCAAAGGUCUGCAGCUUCACUCCUGAGCCAGGGAGACCACGAACCCACCAGAAGGAAGAAACUCCAAACACAUCCGAACAUCAGAAGGAACAAACUCCAGACGCGCCACCUUAAGAGCUGUAACACUCACUGGGAGGGUCCGCGGCUUCAUUCUUGAAGUCAGUGAGACCAAGAACCCACCAAUUCCGGACACAUAACCACUAUGCUAGACCAGAUACAGGAAAUCUUCAUAACCUCAGGAAGUUCUCCUGUGCCUCUUUGCAGUCACUUCCUCUCCGUGUCUUCCUCCCACCCCCGCCAUCUGAGGCAACCACAACUGGAAUUUCUAUCAUAUUGUGUUAAAUUACUACUUCUAGAAAUUCAUGUAAAUGAAAUCAACCAGAAUGUGAUGUUUUCAGAUAUAUGAUCUCUGGUUGUUUUGUGAUCCCAGGAUCUACUGAGAUGUAUAGCAUAAGAAGUUAUACACAUCCUGGAUUUUGUAAGUUUCCCAGCUUCUCCAUUGUUCUUGAGUAUCAUUUUUCAGGGCAAUCAUAAAAAUGGGCAGGGCAUGAAGCAUUGCACUUCUAAAACUUGCAAAUCUGAAACCUGGAUUUCCAAACAUAUCAGAGAAAGAAGAAAAACAGGUCCUCACUGCCCUAUAGGACAAACCAGAACACGACGGCCAGGAUUCAGCUCCUAACCAAUCAAAUAGAGGAUUCAAAAAUACCCAAUCAAGAGGAGGAUUGAAAAACAGACUCUUCUGAAUGGACAAAGGGAGAAUAUGGGAGGGAACAACAUGGGAAUAUAAGUCAGACUAGCAACGGCACCCUCUUCCGGGUCCCCUUCCACCACGUGGAAGCUUUACUUUUGGUUUGCUCAAUAAACUGCGCUGCUGCACACU